rnacentral:tRNA from 1 species
GGGGCUAUAGCUCAGCUGGGAGAGCGCUUCGCUGGCAGCGAAGAGGUCAUCGGUUCGAUCCCGAUUAGCUCCACCAUCUUUAAGUAUUUUCUUGAUACAGAAUAUUUAAAAAUGGUUACUUCCUCAAGAAGUGAUUAGCUCUUUAACAAUUUGGAAAGCUGACGAAUAACAAC